CAGUCGCCGCGGUAAUACAGAGGGUGCAAGCGUUAAUCGGAAUUACUGGGCGUAAAGCGCGCGUAGGUGGUUUGUUAAGUUGGAUGUGAAAGCCCCGGGCUCAACCUGGGAACUGCAUACAAAACUGGCAAGCUAGAGUACGGUAGAGGGUGGUGGAAUUUCCUGUGUAGCGGUGAAAUGCGUAGAUAUAGGAAGGAACACCAGUGGCGAAGGCGACCACCUGGACUGAUACUGACACUGAGGUGCGAAAGCGUGGGGAGCAAACAGGAUUAGAUACCCCAGUAGUCCCUGUCUCUUAUAC
rnacentral:rRNA from 1 species